rnacentral:lncRNA from 1 species
AAAAAGGCCCGCGGGCGGGCAGACGGGCGGAGUGGAGGCGGCCAGCGGCGAAGAGAGAAGCCAGCCGCGCCGCCCACGGCGUCCGCCUCCAGCGCCACGGCGUCCGCGCCCGGCCCCGGGGAGAAGAAAGAGCCUUUACGAGGCGGCGCCACUACUCACCAGGGAAAAGGGAGGGCGGAGCGGGAGACGAGGAGAUCGAGGCGACAGCGGCUGGAGCCACGGGCACACGGCCCGGGUCGGCGGCACCGGGGACAGCUCAGCGGGACUCACGACCUUCCCAGGAAGCAGCCGCGGGGGUUUCAGCGGCCGAGAAGAAGAACCACGCAGAGAGCGCCGGCAGCCAUCACUCCAGCGGAGCACCCCGCCGGCCCCUACUUAUAGCCCGCGCAGCGACCCGCGUGACCCCGCCGCGCCUCGCGCCGGCCCCGAAGCCCCGCCCCCGGCAUGACGCAGCCCUCCUCGGCCCGGCGUGCCCAGCCGGGUGAGCCCGACGGUGGCGCUCAUUGGCCCGGCCCGCUUCGGCGGCCACGCCCCCAGCGGGGAGCCGGUCCACGUGGGGCGGGACAGCCCCCUCCCUGCGGCCUCGCCCUGGAGUCUCGGCACCGUCUGGCCCCGCCGGCUGAUUACAGCCAGAGAUCGAGGGGGACCUCGCUGUCCCCCUAGAGGCCGUCAUGCGGGGUUACAGAGGCUGCGACCAAAGUCAUUCCUAGCUCCUCUCUCGGGGCUCCGGAAAGCCGUCCGCGCCUCCAGCCGCACUUUCAGCGCACGCAGGACCUGCCGCGCCCGGUGGCCACACCCGUCCCUCUGCCGGGUGACGCUGCGGGAGAUCUUGCGCCCUGGGGCUCCGGAUCCAGUUCUGGCACGUUGUUGCACCUGUGACUUGUCCUUGGCCUGGCACUGUCCCUCGCCUGGGGGAAGCGGGGGGGUGGGGGGGGGAUGCUCACGUGGUCGCUUUGCUCCCGCAGUCAUGCACUUGGGUGAAAACAGACUGAAGAGUCACGGGAACCAGCUUGUCUCCCCAGUUAUGGCGCAGAGCUGCAAGGAUGGCUGUGGGUCAUUAAUUUCUCCGUGGCUGACCUGUGUUUGUAACGCCGCAGCUGUUGCGAGGGGGAAGGACACUGCUUCGGAUUCAAAUUCUGACUCCUUGCUGCAGUGUGUCACCUUGAGCCAGUCCCAGAUCUCUGCGUUCUCACAAUUGUAAAAUGUUAACAGAGGCUGCCUACCUUGUGGCUGGAAUUAAAUGAAUUAACGUGUGUGAAUGUGACUAGAAUUCAGUACAUGUUCAGGAAAAGCUGAUUUCCGCUUUGCUGUUACCGUGAAUAUUACUGUUUUAGGGUGUAGAAAAGGGUGGAAGGGGAUGUUAUUGCAUCCUGGAAGCUUAUCCUUUUGAGGUAAAGAUUGAUUUCUGGUCCCCUGCGUGGUAUAUAGUGUAGUUUUGACAUUAUUUAGAUGUGUUAUGCACAUUUGGGUGUUGAUUAUAUGGCUUACGAUCAAGACUAACCAGUCAUGCCGUGGGAGAUUAAGGUCGUGGUCUCUUGUCAGGAUUGUAGUGAGAUUUAAAAAUUCCAGCCAGAAAUACCAGGCUUAGAAUGCUCUGAAGCCCUCCCCACAUUUUUGCCAUCUCUAGCAGGAGGGCACUGCAUAGCAGAAACAAAGACGUUGUAAAUUGUUGCUGCCUGAGUCAUUUAUAGAGGCUUAAACAACCUGAAUGUCCUCUGACCUACCUGUAACAUUUGAUGGAGUUGUAUGAGUAACUUACAAAGCUGUAGGUCCCAAGGUCGGUCUGAAAAAGAAAGUUCAUAUCCGGGAGCACUGACCCCGUAGUGUAAUCCUGGCACCUUAAAACGUACUGCUCCCUCCACCUUCACUUCAAGGUUAUGAAAACAUUGAGUAAAAGGGAUGAUCUGUUCAAAGUCCUUAGUGUUCUGCCAAUUUAAAACAGUAAUUUUCAAAGCAGUUAUUUGCAAGGAAAUUGCCUAGAACUUCUCCCAGUGUGCGGUUGUUUUGUGUGUUUGUGUGUGUGUUUUGUUUGUUUGUUUUCAGUCUGUCCACAGGCGUACUUUUAUAGGUCUGUGAUAGUAGGUAGCUCUUCAAGUUGGCAAACACCUGCUGGACAACCCCUGAGAGAUUCAUCUGAGUGAGAGAGCACUCUCCAGCCCCAUCGGAGUGGGUUUGCAGGGAAAUCAUAAGGAAGAAAUCCUUAUCUUUCCAACACUGAGAUGCUUCUGCCGAAGAGUAGAAUGGGAGGUGAGGAAUUGGGGUGGGCCCUCACUGCUUUGCCUCCGGAUCAGUAGGGUACAGCCCUUGGAGACCAGGAUCUUCCUUGGCUGGGACACCUUCGUCCUCCCCUAAGGGAGGAGAGGUAGGGAUCUGCCUGUGGAAAGAAGUUACAGUGCCUUUUAAAUAGAAAUAGGAGGUAGGAGGACCGUCAGUUGUCAGUUCGUGCACAAAUGGCAUUGUUUCUGGCCUUAUCUCUGAAUGCUGAGGAAACAGGUCAGAGAUCCUAAAGAGAAUCUAAUCUCUUAGAAUCCAGGCAUUGGCACAAACCCCCUCUAGCAUCUUAGGGAGGUGGUUUGGUGUAGUGGUUAAACACAUAGACUGUAAGACCAAACCACCUGCUCUGUCACUCACUAGUCCUGUGACCAUAGGCAAAUAAAUUAUCUGCCUCAGUUUCCUGAUCUGUAAAGGGGUGAGAUUGAGACUUCUAACUCACAGUGCUGUUGUGAGGACCAAAUGAAUGAAUAUAUGUAAAGCCCUUGUAAAAGGGCUCUUAUUCUCUUUGUUCAAUAACUAGCUGAAGGCCUGUCAUACAUAGCCCAUGUUUAAAAUGAAGUAUGUGUCAGAUGUCAGGACCACCCUCUUCUCCCUGCCCUCUGAUCCAAGCCCUUUCAAAUUUCUCCCACGGCUCAUAGUGAGGGGACACGCAAAACGGGCUGCUGCCGGAGGAAGAGGAACAGUGUUGUGGCUCAUGCCAUAUGAAUGGGCUCACUGGCCUGGCCCAGACCCUGACUGCCCACAGGAUCUUUGGUGAGUCACUGUCACUGAGCCUGUGAGCCUAGGGUCCCUCUCCAACCUCACCCUCAGAGAGGACAGAACAAGAUGACCUGUGGCAUGCUGCAGAACACCAUGUUGGGGACUGUGGGUUUAGAGUCCUCUUGGGGACAUGUCCAUCGUUCACUAAUUCGGUGGAGUUGAGCUGCUGAGAGCUAGGAAAGCUACUCUCCCCCCGGAUCCCAACCUAGCCCUGUGGAAGACCAGACAAAAGAAGGAAGCAAUGACAUUUCUGCACUUUUUAGUUCAGAGAGGCACAGUCAAGGAAAUGCAUUUGAGGUCACUGUUCGAUGUACUUGAAGUACUCAUCCUGGAAAUAGUCUACUUGGAGUAGAGGGAGCUCAAGUGGGCAUGGGAACGUUGUGGAACCAGACCAGGAACAAAGGCGGCUUCAGAGGCCGUCUGUGAGGACUUGCAUGGGAGCAGGGGCGAGAACAUCCAGGGAAGAGAAGGUAGGAGCCUUGGAGUAAAGGAGAACCAGCUCCUCUCCACCCACCAAUGCCCUCCCCAUCCCCAGAUGAAUGAGGUAAUAAUAAUACCUGUAGCUGGACAUGGUGGCUCAAGCUUGUAAUCCCAGCAUUUUGGGAGGCCAAGGCGGGUGGAUCACCUGAGGACGGGAGUUCGAGACCAGCCUAUCAACAUGGAGAAACCCUGUCUCUACUAAAAAUACAAAAAUUAGUUGGGCACGGUGGUGCAUGGCUGUAAUCCCAGCUACUUGGGAGGCUGAGGCAGGAGAAUCACUUGAACCCGGGAGGCGGAGAUUGCGGUGAGCCAAGAUCGUGCCAUUGCACUCCAGCCUGGGCAACAAGAGCAAAACUCCAUCUCAAAAUAAUAAUAAUAAUAAUAUCUGUGAUGCAGUUGAAUGCUUACUGUGUGCCAGGUACUAUUUCAGGUGCUCUGCAUGGAUUAUCUCAGGUGAUGCUCUCAAUAAAUCUCAGAUGAGGUAUUUUCCCCUUACUUUAUAGACAGAGAAACGGAGGCACAGAGAAGGAAGCGGCAGUUAAAGCUGCGAAGAACCUAACAAAUUUCAAGAUUGUAAGUGCCUUUUCCCAGGAUGCCAGCAAGUACUGAGGCAAGUAUGAUUGCCCUAGGUGCCAACUCUUAUUUGCACUUAACACAUUUACUUCCUCCUUCUUUCCCCCUCCUUUUUAUUAACUCUGUUGCUUUUACAGCCUGUAUUUUGAGCUGCAUCAAACCCUGUUGGAAUAAAAAAGGACAUUUCUAGGAGAUCAGUCUUCGAGAUUGGCCCCAGUUUCCCCAGAGUAGGAAGAGGCAGGAAGCCAGAGCACAUGUUCUCUCCAGAAAUAAAGUUGUUGCAGUGGCC